UGUAGCGGUGAAAUGCGUAGAUAUCUGGAGGAACAUCAGUGGCGAAGGCGACUCCCUGGCCAAAGACUGACGCUCAUGUGCGAAAGUGUGGGUAGCGAACAGGAUUAGAUACCCUGGUAGUCCACACCGUAAACGCUGUCUACUAGCUGUUUGUGACUUUAAGUCGUGAGUAGCGAAGCUAACGCGAUAAGUAGACCGCCUGGGGAGUACGGCCGCAAGGUUAAAACUCAAAUGAAUUGACGGGGGCCCGCACAAGC
rnacentral:rRNA from 12 species